UCAGUUUGGCUCUUUUUCUCUAGCACUACCACAUCCGCACAUCAUUAGCUGGAAAAUUCCAGAUAUAUGCUGUAAUUUUUGAGCUCCCCCCCCCCUCCAGAUGCCAUUCCCCUUCUCUUCUCUCCCUUCCCUUUCCUUAUCUGUCGCUGCUUCUUUGGUUCUUUGCCAGCUGUGAUCAACAAUUAAUACAACCAAAGGAGGGGGAAGAAAGUAGAGAACACUCCCUGGCAACUGGCACAGCCUCACAGGAAAUACCAAAUAAAAACUUUAUUAUGUAUUGUUUAACUAUUUUGUUUGCCUGUAGGCCACCCUGCUAUUGGUGUAAUUCAGCAAGACACGGUCUGUCUGGACGAGCUGCGCACAGACUCAUUGUUUGCAGGAUCUAUCAUGCACAAUCCUUUAGUAGAGCAUGUGGCCCCACUAAAGAAAGAGGCGUGGUAGGCCAGGGUUCCUUUUCAUUACCCAGCUAGUGACCAAAUGUUAAAACGGAAAGUGACUCUGGAUGGUAUAGAGCAGAGGUCCCCAACCCCAGGUCCAUGGACCGGCACCAGUCUGAGGCAUGUCAAAACCGGACUGCGCAAACAAGCGAAGCCCCAUCCGUGGGAUGCAGACAGCACAUGAAACCAUGCCCCUUCCAGCCUGCAGAAAAACUUCUUUCCACGGAACCGGUCCCUGGUGCCCCAAAGGUUGGGGGGCGCUGGUAUAGAGCAAAAAAUAUGAAAACAAUAAACAGGUCAAAAGCAAACAAAUUUAAAGUAAAAAGAGCAUAAAAUACAUAGGAUCCCUUGAGGUCCUUAAAUCAGGUGACUUAGCCAGGUUCUGAGGGACUUCCAGAAAAUAAGUAGGGAUGGAAAUCACUUCAUUUCAGGGCAGGAAAGGAGAAUGUUCCAUAAGGCAGGCGUCAUGGAAGAGAUGGCCCAAUAUAAUUCCCUGACAAAUGGACCUAUAGCAUGUCUUUCUUGCCAGAUCUGAUGGAAUGGGCAGAUGGAAAUUAGAAGAGGUUAUCUCUAAAAAUAACUUGGUUCCAUGCCACAAAGGCUUUAAAGGUUUAAACCAGCAUCCUGAACUGGACCUGGAAACAAACUGCCAGCCAAUGCAUCUUACAGAACAGAGGUAUAACAUAUUAUAGAAGCACACAUAAAUGCUCAUGCUGCUGAAUAUUGCACCAGCUGAAGCUUCCUGAUACUCUUCAAGGGUAGUCCCAUGUUACAGCAAUCCAAACAGGAGGUGACUAAGCCAUGACUGAUUGUACACAGAGCCGCUUAUUCCAGAAAUGAGUGCAACUCAUGCACAAUACAAAGCUGUGCAAAGUCAUUCUUAACCAUAAUCACCACCUGUUCUCAUGAGGAAUCACGAGGCUAGAGCACCCCCAGAUUGUGCACCAGUGCUAUCUUGGACCAUACAACCUUAUCCAGUACCAAAGAUGGCAUCAUUAAAUAAUUAUAUGCUAAUCCAUCAGUUAUUUCCCUGAUGUAGAAAAAUAAUUUUACUGUCAGAUCUGCCAUCAUAUCACUUCAGCCCUGCUUUGCUUUGAUGGCAUUCUGCCAUAAAGGGAGGGAGGAGUAAAGGGAUAUAAGGAGGGGGGAAUACCAGUAUAACAGGAACCAGAGUUGCUAGCCCAGAACAGAGCUUGGCAGAUCCAAGGACACAAGCAUGAGAAUGGAAUGCAAACCUCCACCAAAGAGAUAGACAUGUAAAAUAUCCAGUAUGUGAAGAAUUCACAAGACAAUGUGGGAAUGAUUCAACAAUGAAAAAUCAAUGCAUGGUUGAGAGAAGUAAGCUUUAUAUCCGCUGAUGUCAUCUACAAUCAGUGAUAAAUUAUGACUGGCUACAGCAAAUUCAACCUUCAAGUAAUAAGGAGUGACAAGAGCCACAAAACCUGUCUAUAUACAGAUCACCAACUUCUCUGCAUUAUCACUAAUGAGCAACCAAAGUAUCACCAAGAAUCAAAACCUCUUUUAAUUUUGCUGGAAAUAAAUGCCAAAAAUCAGUGAUUAUGAAAAAAACAGAUUCUUUUAACAUAACUUCAAGAUUAUUAAGGUAAUUGCUAAUAUUUUAUAGAUAAAAAACUGAAACUAAUUCAGUAAACUAUAGAAAAGACAAUGGGUACAUUUAGAUAACAGUUAAGCCAGAAUUUUUAAAGUUUCUUGAAGAAACUUGCCUCAAACAAAACAUUAAAUCGAAUGUAUGCUUGAGCAUGAACCAGGCCUAUGGUUCAUAUGAGUGUUAUGUAGCUGAGUUUAUUAACAACAAAAUAACUGAUUUUACAUUCCAAACUUUAGCCGCUUAGCUAUCCCAAAGAUAUUUUCUAUUAUUGAACCUCCUUUUCUCAUCCUCCUAUUUAAUUCUCUACUUCUGCCAUUGUGGCUAUGUAAACCAAAAACUUAUUUGCAAUGUGGGUUGCUGUGGACUAAGUACAUCUUAUUAAAACACUCAUGUUCUUUACAAAGUUUGUGCAGAUGGUUAAAAAUCCUCCUAUCUGAAAAUACAUUUUCUGGGAUUACUGGUAAAGAAAAGAAACCGAGUAUGCAUAUGUAUUCUACAAGACUGAUUUCAAAGUAGACACACAAGCCUUUUAAAAGGUGUGGAUGCUAUAAUGUCUUAAGAAAGAUGCUCUAUUUGUGCUAACUUACUACAAAUUCUUCAUAAAGUUCUAUUGUCUGUAUUUGUCUUCUACACAGAUCGUGAAUUAAUCUAAGAAUUUCUAAUCAAUGAAGUCGACUGGCUGGGAAGACAUCUCUUUUUCAGUAUACUAGAAUAUGCUAGGUUGGACAAGGCUUGCCUUUUGGUGAUUGCUAUACUUUGGUUAUUUUUCUUAUAAAGUGUUUUCCCAUUAUACCAUCUUUCUUUUUUCCCUAAUUACUCCAACUAUCCUUAUUAUUUGUGCUACAGCAUAGUUUUCCUUUUAAAAUCUUAUGUUGCUUUCCAUACCUUUCACAGCUUUCUAUUUCUCUCAUUGAUUUUUCCCUCCUGCCCUAAGCUUUCCUUCCCUUUUCAACAUUAAACUCUUUUUCUUAUAGUUUACUCAAGAAUUAUGAAGUUCAGUUUUUUUCAGGUUUUAUGUAUGUUUUCCUACACUGCAAUAUGAGCUUUUAGUCUGCAUAUUUAAGCUCUCUGCUUGUCCUAACUCUACUGGUGACAACUUCUUGAGCAGUUGAAAUAGUAUGAAUAAUACUAUUCUCUAAAUGACUAUUCGAAUUUAUUAAGUUGAAGAAUGGAGAUUAUUUUCUGAUAAAUGUGUAAAUGUAUCCAUGACAUCACUACUUAUGAUUUCCACAAUGUACGGGAAAACAAUAUAUUGUAUGAAAAUGAAUAAAUUUAAUAUGACAUGUGCCAACCUUAAUUAACAUAUGCUAGCUUUUCCCAACCAAUGUCCUAUAAGCAUUUCUGAAGGCAUGCGUAUUUGCAUCAUUUUGGUACUUUAAAAAAAGAUCACUGACAGUUAAGACAUUUGUCUUCUUAAGGAAACUCUAUUAUCUUUAAUUUUUAAAUAAAUACUUACAGAUAAUUCUUCUUUUUAUAUCACCCUAUAUCAUUUUUCUCUUCUUCCAGAAUUACUGAUUUGUAGAAUUAUUAUAGUCCUUAUUAAAGUCUACAAGUACCUCUCUCAGAACUAUGAUUUAAAGGAUGUUUGGAAACAUUGGUGUUAACUAAGCUAAAAACUGUACAGAUUUGUUUUGAAAUUGUGAUUUCCAAGUCUGUUGGGCUACAAUUCCCUUGAUCCAUGACAAUUUGCCUAUACUUUCUUUUAAACAUAUUACAAAACAUUAUGAAAGAAGGUUUUAUAUUUUCACAAAAUUAUUUUAAUAUGGACGUGGACUCUGGAGAAGAUAAAUAAUUUGAAAACAACACAAGCUUGUAAAUAUAUCUUACAAGUGAGUAAACAUUUAGUAAAUUAAAGGUAGGAAAAUUUACCUCAGAAAUAUACAGCAUUUUUAUAGCUAGCAGCAACAGACUAUAAAUAAGUUCACUAAGAAGAUGCAAUCCAAGAACAACAGUGGGCAAGUAAUGUCACACAAAAUGAGCAGAGCUCCACCUUGCAUGUUUCCCACAUCUGCAGUAUUUUCUAAGUUUUGUGUUUCUUGCUUAUAAAAUGGUAAGAAAUGUUACCACUAACUUAUAGCAAUACUAUCAGAAAAAAUGGUUUCCCUUCUGGCCAGAAAACAAUAGUCUUAAGCAGGUAAAAGUUUUUCCCUGCUCAGUCAUGUCCAAGUCUAGGGGGCAAUGGUCUGUUUCUUAUCCGAGGGAGCCAGUGUUGCCCAAAGACAUUUUCGUGGUCAUAAGGCCAGCAUGACUAUAUGUGAGGUGCACAGAACGCUGUUGCCAUCCCACCAAAAUGGUACCUAUUUGUCUACUUGCAUUUGCAUGCUUUUGAACUGCUAGGUGAGAGGAGCUAGGGCAGGGAUGAGAGUUCACCUGGUCAGAUGGUGCUUGGGUCUUGAAUCGAGGUUGUCAGCUUUUCAGCUGAAAAGAACAGCUUCUUUAACCUCUUCUCUUCAGCAGGUAACAUAGUGCAACUUAUUUUUGAGUAUACACCUGUAGUAGUGUAUGUAUCAAUGAACUUGAAGAGAGUGAUAUGUGUAAAACAGUAUUCUACAUGUAUAGGAUCAAUAAAAGCCCUGCAUCGUCUCUUAAUAAAUCUGCAGCAACCUUUUGUUCAUUUUUUAUGAUAUGCAGCAGUCUUUUGUGAUCCAACAGUUAUUGAUUCAUUAUAGCAUUGAAAAAAGUUUCAAAAUAAUGGACUGGGAAUACCUUAAGCAUUGGAAAUAUGAUACAAAUUCAUUCAAGAAAAUAAUAAAUAAAUAAAUCAGGAACUACCAACAUAAUAGUUGCCCCUUAGUAAUUCACACAUUUUUAACCUGCAAUCGCUUUGCAAGUUGAAUCACUAUUCAACUUGCAAUUCACACAUUUUCAACUUGCAAUCACUAUUAUCUCCAGAAAAAAAGCUACAUUCUGUUUUUGCACUAUUUUGUAUUGUGAUAUGGUCAGUGGUCUCAACUCCUUGUAGUGUUAUACCCAAUGUUACAACAAUUCAUUGGCAAGGAAGAUAAUGACUUGAGUAAUACAUGAAAUGCCACAGAUAAAAGCAACUAUCAAGUUUUUUCUGCUCAUAGACUAAAAGAAAAUAUGAAUAAAAACCUCUUAAGCAGAAGCCUGGUCACAACUGAAAUACCUGCAAAUGAUUCAGAAGAUAUUUACUAUGUUGGCCAUAGUGUUUUAUGAAUUAACCUCUUUCAUAUAGAUAGAUAUAAUGUGCUUUAUCUGGUGCUGCCCUAAUGGUCAGCUGCAUAAACCAUAACUGGCGUCCAUUUGUAUCUGGACAUAAUUUAAGCUGCUGGCCUGUACUUGCACAUUCCUAAACAAAUUGAGGCCAUAUUUGAAACAUCAUUUUCUCCCAAAGGAAUCUACUUAAAGAUCAGUUUCAAGAGGUUCUUCUAUAUUUCCUAUCACUAGAAAGCUCACAUAGAUAGAAACACAAUAUAAGGACUUUCUGCAGGAACCAUUGUAAACUAACACAGUUUCCUUCCUAGGUUAGAGUGUUCUUCAUUUACUUUUGGGAAGGUUAUUCAAAAAUAUUUUGUUUAACUGGGCAUUCAAAUGCUUUUAAAUGUUUUGGGUUUUCUCCCCUUAAAUUUGCUAUCUGCUUUAAAAUGUGCAAAUUGUUGGGUAAGGGAAAAAUUCCAAAUAAGUAGCUCAGAUAUAAUUUUAUAAAGACUUUCCUUACUAUUGCCAGCUAAGUGUGUGGGUGUUAGUGCCUGAAGAUUUUGUUUCAAUUAAGAUGCUUUCUCUCAACAAAGUUGUUCAGGAAAAGUAAUACUUUUACUUUCUCAGCUAUAUAAUUCUUAAUUAUGUAUAUAUAGUAGAUCAAAGGAUGUAUGAAAUUUGAAUUCCACUAACAUUAGUGGAAUUGGGAAGAAAUAAAGUCCAUAACUGUCCAAAAUAGCCAUUCUUUUCUGUGCCAGAUAUAAACAUUCAGAAUUUUUAGAGUUCUAACCUUGGCUUGUUAACAAAUUGAGUUAUUAGUUUUAAACCAAUUCUCAAUUUACAUACAAUAAUAAAUCUGGAAUUGCACUGCAUUCUGGUUUCUAUUCUUACACAGAAGAACAUGAAAAAGAAGGCACACAAAGGGGCUUUUCCAAAAGGUAACUGGGCAAGAAAAUCCAGUUGCCUUUUGGAAAAGCACCUUUGGGACAAUUAUGACACCGAUGAUUAAGAAUCUCCAUAGAGAUGAAAGAGAGCAGUAUCUGAAUUUCUCACUUUACAUGAAAUCCAUCCAACUUGUGUAUGAUACAAAAUCACAUCUCAAUUCAGCCACCUCACAUUUUCCAAAUAAACUUGAUUUCGGGACCCAUCAUUUCCAGCCAACACACGUAAUGAUACAGAUAAAAGGGAACUUUAGCAUUUAUAUGAACAGUUUUUCAUUUCUCAGAGUCAACUAGACAGUAAUUAUGGGUUGGAUUUUUUUUAAAAAAAAAAAAAA